rnacentral:rRNA from 1 species
CCUACGGGUGUCAGCAGUGAGGAAUAUUGGUCAAUGGGCGCGAGCCUGAACCAGCCAAGUAGCGUGAAGGAUGACUGCCCUACGGGUUGUAAACUUCUUUUAUAAAGGAAUAAAGUGAGGCACGUGUGCCUUUUUGUAUGUACUUUAUGAAUAAGGAUCGGCUAACUCCGUGCCAGCAGCCGCGGUAAUACGGAGUAUCCGAGCGUUAUCCGGCUUUAUUGGGUUAAAAGGGAGGGUAGAUGGGUUGUUAAGUCAGCGGUAAAAUGUCCGGGCUCAACCCGCGCCGGCCGUUGAAACUGGGGAUCUUGAGUGGGCGAGAAGUAUGCGGAAUGCGUGGUGUAGCGGUGAAAUGCAGAGAUAUCACGCAGAACUCCGAUUGCGAAGGCAGCAUACCGGGGCCCGACUGACGCUGAGGCACGAAAGCGUGGGGAUCGAACAGGAUUAGAUACCCGAGUAGUC